GGCGGCGUGCUUAACACAUGCAAGUCGAACGAGAAGAGAUGAGAAGCUUGCUUCUUAUCAAUUCGAGUGGCAAACGGGUGAGUAACGCGUAAGCAACCUGCCCUUCAGAUGGGGACAACAGCUGGAAACGGCUGCUAAUACCGAAUACGUUCUUUUUGUCGCAUGGCAGAGGGAAGAAAGGGAGGCUCUUCGGAGCUUUCGCCGAAGGAGGGGCUUGCGUCUGAUUAGCUAGUUGGAGGGGUAACGGCCCACCAAGGCGACGAUCAGUAGCCGGUCUGAGAGGAUGAACGGCCACAUUGGGACUGAGACACGGCCCAGACUCCUACGGGAGGCAGCAGUGGGGAAUCUUCCGCAAUGGACGAAAGUCUGACGGAGCAACGCCGCGUGAACGAUGACGGCCUUCGGGUUGUAAAGUUCUGUUAUACGGGACGAAUGGCGUAGCGGUCAAUACCCGUUACGAGUGACGGUACCGUAAGAGAAAGCCACGGCUAACUACGUG
rnacentral:rRNA from 1 species